rnacentral:rRNA from 1 species
UGGGGAAUUUUGGACAAUGGGCGAAAGCCUGAUCCAGCCAUGCCGCGUGAGUGAAGAAGGCCUUCGGGUUGUAAAGCUCUUUUAGUCGGAAAGAAAGAGUUGCAAUGAAUAAUUGUGAUUUAUGACGGUACCGACAGAAAAAGCACCGGCUAACUACGUGCCAGCAGCCGCGGUAAUACGUAGGGUGCGUGCGUUAAUCGGAAUUACUGGGCGUAAAGGGUGCGCAGGCGGUCUUGCAAGUCAGAUGUGAAAGCCCCGGGCUUAACCUGGGAAGUGCGUUUGAAACUACAAGGCUAGAGUGCAGCAGAGGGGAGUGGAAUUCCAUGUGUAGCAGUGAAAUGCGUAGAGAUGUGGAAGAACACCGAUGGCGAAGGCAGCUCCCUGGGUUGACACUGACGCUCAUGCACGAAAGCGUGGGGAGCAAACA